rnacentral:rRNA from 1 species
CAGUCGCCGCGGUAAUACAGAGGGUGCAAGCGUUAAUCGGAAUUACUGAGCGUAAAGCGCGCGUAGGUGGUUUGUUAAGUUGGAUGUGAAAGCCCCGGGCUCAACCUGGGAACUGCAUCCAAAACUGGCAAGCUAGAGUACGGUAGAGGGUGGUGGAAUUUCCUGUGUAGCGGUGAAAUGCGUAGAUAUAGGAAGGAACACCAGUGGCGAAGGCGACCACCUGGACUGAUACUGACACUGAGGUGCGAAAGCGUGGGGAGCAAACAGGAUUAGAUACCCGCGUAGUCCCUGUCUCUUAUAC